CGUGAGCAUAGUUUAACCCAAAACACUAAGUUGUGGACUUAGAAACAAAGGCCAACCUUUUGCCCACC
rnacentral:tRNA from 1 species